rnacentral:rRNA from 1 species
UAGGGAAUUUUCGUCAAUGGGGGAACCCUGAACGAGCAAUGCCGCGUGUGUGAAGAAGGUCUUCGGAUCGUAAAGCACUGUUGUAAGUGAAGAAUGCCGUAUAGAGGAAAUGCUAUGUGGGUGACGGUAGCUUACCAGAAAGCCACGGCUAACUACGUGCCAGCAGCCGCGGUAAUACGUAGGUGGCAAGCGUUAUCCGGAAUCAUUGGGCGUAAAGGGUGCGUAGGUGGCACGAUAAGUCUGAAGUAAAAGGCAACAGCUCAACUGUUGUAUGCUUUGGAAACUGUCGAGCUAGAGUGCAGAAGAGGGCGAUGGAAUUCCAUGUGUAGCGGUAAAAUGCGUAGAUAUAUGGAGGAACACCAGUGGCGAAGGCGGUCGCCUGGUCUGUAACUGACACUGAUGCACGAAAGCGUGGGGAGCAAAUAGGAUUAGAUACC